CCUGACGCAGCAACGCCGCGUGGAGGAUGAAGGUCUUCGGAUUGUAAACUCCUGUUGCUCGGGACGAAAAGCCUCGACCUAACACGUCGAGGUCUGACGGUACCGAGUGAGGAAGCCCCGGCUAACUCUGUGCCAGCAGCCGCGGUAAUACAGAGGGGGCAAGCGUUGUUCGGAAUUACUGGGCGUAAAGGGCGCGUAGGCGGCCCGCUAAGUCGAACGUGAAAUCCCCGAGCUCAACUCGGGAACUGCGUCCGAUACUGGUGGGCUUGAGUCCGGGAGAGGGAUGCGGAAUUCCAGGUGUAGCGGUGAAAUGCGUAGAUAUCUGGAGGAACACCGGUGGCGAAGGCGGCAUCCUGGACCGGCAUUGACGCUGAGGCGCGAAAGCUAGGGGAGCAAACGGGAUUAGAUACCCCGGUAGUCCUAGCCCUAAACGAUGAAUGCUUGGUGUGGCGGGUAUCGAUCCCUGCCGUGCCGAAGCUAACGCAUUAAGCAUUCCGCCUGGGGAGUACGGUCGCAAGGCUGAAACUCAAAUGAAUUGACGG
rnacentral:rRNA from 1 species